rnacentral:rRNA from 1 species
GGUUGAUCCUGCCAGUAGUCAUAUGCUUGUCUCAAAGAUUAAGCCUUGCAUGUAUAAGUAUGAACUAAUUCAGACUGUGAAACUGCGAAUGGCUCAUUAAAUCAGUUAUAGUUUGUUUGAUGGUAUUUGCUACUCGGAUAACCGUAGAGCUAAUACGUGCAACAAACCCCGACUUCUGGAAGGGAUGCAUUUAUUAGAUAAAAGGUCGACGCGGGCCCUUGUGCCGGCGACGCAUCAUUCAAAUUUCUGCCCUAUCAACUUUCGAUGGUAGGAUAGUGGCCUACUAUGGUGG